rnacentral:rRNA from 1 species
UAUCGCUGGCGACUCCUUCAAGAUGGACGCCGUUGGCGCUCUCCGUCUUUCUCCAUUGCGUCGUGGCCUUGCUAUUGACUCUACUGUAGACAUUUUUACUUUUUAUGUCCCUCAUCGUCACGUUUAUGGUGAACAGUGGAUUAAGUUCAUGAAGGAUGGUGUUAAUGCCACUCCUCUCCCGACUGUUAACAC